CAAUGAUGUAUCUAAGAGAAUUUAUCUCCCUUCGCCUCGCAAACUAGAUACCUAAGUGGAGGACAGUCUCAUAUGCCCAAAUCAGCAACACAUACAUACAAUUAUUAUAUAUAAAUUUAAUAUAAAAAAUAUUUUAACGUUGAUUAUAUUAAAUAUUUAACUGCACCGUCAAGGUCAAUCCAUAAGUAUCGUAUUGACAAAUGGACCUCUUAGGCUUCGAAUGUGUUCUGGUGAAAACAUGUAUGAUGUCUUCAAAAUAUCUCCGACCCCACAGAUAGUUGUUGAAGGCAUUGAUAUUGUUAAUAACUUCUAAAUGGAAAAAGUCAAUUGCAGUCUUCUUGUGAUGACAUUGAACCUUGCUCUCAAAAAUAUAGAUUAGUCAUAGUUUCAAUCCGUCUAACAUCUGAUCGCACUCCCUGAUUACACCCAAUCAACUGAGGUAGAAGCACCUUUCCUUGUCCCUAAAAAUAUGCGUCUUGCAACCUAUUGUUUCUUUGAAUACAAUCAUGAGUUGCUUCAUCGUAUAUGAUCUUCAGUCAAGCCAUCAGAGCAAACUCAAAUAUGGAGAAAAUAACGACCUUGCCCCCAGGGUCAAAGUAGAAGGAAUCGCCAUUGUUUGCCUAAGCAUCCGACAGAGUAUUGUAUCAAUGAACUGUCUAGAGUACUGCACCUCUCUCAACUAAUACUGGACUAGAGGAAUGACUGGCAUAGCAUAUCCACGUGCUAAUCAUCCAGCAACUUCAAUACGGUAGUGAAACAAUCAAAGCUACUAUUCCAAGUAGCUUUUCCUAUUAUCCGUCUCAACUUCGAAUCUAGAUGAUACUACAUCUUGGAAAAAUUCAAAUGUUAGAAUAUUGAACAAGAGAUAAUGAAAUAAAGCAUAAUCUCAUAAAAUUAAGCGGACCGAUUUAUAACUACGUACGCAAGAUGUAAAGUC
rnacentral:lncRNA from 1 species